rnacentral:rRNA from 1 species
UACGUAGGGUGCAAGCGUUGUCCGGAAUCAUUGGGCGUAAAGAGCGUGUAGGCGGCUCGAUCAGUCCGCUGUGAAAGUCCAGGGCUCAACCCUGGAAAGCCGGUGGAUACUGUCGGGCUAGAGUACGGAAGAGGCGAGUGGAAUUCCUGGUGUAGCGGUGAAAUGCGCAGAUAUCAGGAGGAGCACCAAUGGCGAAGGCAGCUCGCUGGGACGAUACUGACGCUGAGACGCGAAAGCGUGGGGAGCAAACAGG